GGCUUGGUGUUGACCCCUGCGCGCUGACCUGAGAACUCUGGGCUCUGAGCUGUGAUGCUGCUCUGAGUUGGGAUCUCUCGGGUGAUGGUUCAGGUUGGGGCCUCUGGGAUCCGAG
rnacentral:miRNA from 1 species